UUGCACGGUAAAAACAGUCACGAUGAAGACUAACCAUGAGCUCUGUUUUCUUCCAGAAUGCCCUGAACCACCUCCUCCUCCUCCUCCUCCUCCCUCUGAUGAUCCACAACCGCAGCUGCUCGUUAUCAUCUCCUUCAUCCUCAUCAUCCUCAUCAUCCUCAUUGUGGGGGUUUUCUGUUGGAAACGCUGCAGGAAGAGAAGAAAUCAAACCCAGACUCGCACAGAAGAAGAAUCAUCCUCCAUGACACCAUGAAGGAGACUGAGAGACAUCUUUUCUACUUUUAACAUGAAUUUUUAAAGUUCAUCCUGAACAGAUGUUUUUAACCAGCACUGACUACAUCUUAUGUACUGUAAUAAAGUGGAUGAGAAGAUCUAUGAACUGUGAGGGUGAUAUUUCUAUCUAUAUUCUCUUUUCUUUGACAAACAUCUUUAAACUUUUCCUUCAGCGUUAUAAGCUAUUUAGCAGUUUGAGGUAAAACUGGUCACAUUAAAUUAGCAUGAAAACAUAUCCCAGAGAACGGUCGACUCGGUACACGGUAGUGUUAUUAACCAUUAGGUAUAUUUUGCGCCAGAUUUCCCCUUUAACAUUCUCAGUUUGUUUUUAAAUGCUCAUCACACAGUGC
rnacentral:lncRNA from 1 species